rnacentral:rRNA from 1 species
GACGUGAUAAGCUGCGAUAAGCUUCGGGGAGUUGCACGUAAACUUUGAUCCGAAGAUUUCCGAAUGAGGAAACUCACUUAGAGUAAUGUCUAAGUAUCAUUAAGUGAAUACAUAGCUUAAUGAGGGGAACUCAGGGAACUGAAACAUCUAAGUACCUGAAGGAAGAGAAAGAAAUUCGAUUCCGUAAGUAGCGGCGAGCGAACGCGGAUUAGCCCAAACCAAUAAAGUUUUCUUUAUUGGGGUUGCGGACAUAUCAUAACGAAGAGGAAUCGUAAUUGAAGAGGUUUGGAAAGACCCACCACAGAAGGUAAUAGUCCUGUAUGUUAAACGAGAAGACUUCAGAUAUGAUCCAGAGUACCACGGGACACGUGAAACCCUGUGGGAAGCAGGAGGGACCACCCUCCAAGGCUAAAUACUACCUAGUGACCGAUAGCGUAUAGUACCGUGAGGGAAAGGUGAAAAGUACCCCGGGAGGGGAGUGAAACAGUCUCUGAAACCAUGCGCCUACGAACCGUCGGGGCCCCCUUGUGGGGUGACGGCGUGCCUAUCGAAAAAUGAGUCUGCGAGUCAGUGGCAUGUGGCGAGCAUAACCCGUGUGGGGUAUGCGUAGCGAAGGCGAGUCUUAAAAGGCGUUUGAGUCGUGUGUCCUGGACCCGAAGCGGGAUGAUCUAGCCCUGAGCAGGUUGAAGCGCGGGUAAGACCGUGUGGAGGACCGAACCCACCUGGGUUGAAAACCGGGGGGAUGACUUGGGGCUAGGGGUGAAAGGCCAAUCAAAUUCCGUGAUAGCUGGUUCUCUCCGAAAUGCAUUUAGGUGCAGCGUCGGAUCGAUUACAUCCGGGGGGUAGAGCGACUGGAUGCUUGCGGGCCCAUAUCGGGUACCAACAGCAACCAAACUCCGAAUACCCGUGAUGCGUAUCCCGGCAGUGAGUCGGCGGGGGAUAAGCUCCGUCGUCGAAAGGGAAACAGCCCAGAUCGUCGUCUAAGGUCCCCAAGCGUGUGCUAAGUGGGAAAGGAUGUGGAGUCGCAUAGACAGCCAGGAGGUUGGCUCAGAAGCAGCCACCCUUGAAAGAGUGCGUAACAGCUCACUGGUCUAGUGGUUCCGCGCCGACAAUGUAGCGGGGCUCAAGCACACCACCGAAGACGCGGCAGUAGUUUUGCUACUGGGUAGGAGAGCGUCCCAUGCGGGGCGAAGCGGCGGCGCAAGCCCGCCGUGGACCGCAUGGGAGUGAGAAUGCAGACAUGAGUAGCGAAAGACGGGUGAAGAUCCCGUCCGCUGGACGACCAAGGGUUCCAGGGCCACGUUCAUCGUCCCUGGGUGAGUCGGGUCCUAAGGCGAGGCCGACAGGCGUAGUCGAAUGGAUGAACGGGUCGAUAUUCCCGUACCGGCAUGCAACCGGCAAAACCGAAUCCGCGAGUACUAACCUCCGGGUCCGGGCUUACGUCUCCUUCGGGAGCCGGAUGCCCUGGCCUGUUGGGACCGUAACGGUAGUAGGUCAGCGCGGGAGUGACGCAGAAGGGUAGCCGGCCGCGGAGGUGGUCUUCCGUGGUCAAGCACGCAGCCCGUCCCACAGGCAAAUCCGUGGGGCGCGUGGGCGAGGUGCGAUGAUGGGCGCCGUUGGGCGCGAUAUCCGGUGAUCCCGGCUGCCGAGAAAAGCUUCGGCGUGAGGCGGCGUGCCGCCCGUACCCCAAACCGACACUGGUGGUCAGGUAGAGAAUACCAAAGCGAUCGAGCGAAUCCUGGUCAAGGAACUCGGCAAAUCACUCCCGUUCCUUCGGUUUAAGGGAGACCCCCGAUGGUGAACACACUUGCUGUGGGAGCUUUUGGGGGUGGCACAGACCAGGGGGUAGCGACUGUUUACCAAAAACACAGGAGCGUGCGAAGGCGCAAGCCGCUGUAUACGCUCUGACGCCUGCCCGGUGCCGGAAGGUUAAGAGGAUCCGUCAGGCUUCGGCCGAAGCGGUGAAUUCAAGCCCCGGUAAACGGCGGUGGUAACUAUAACCAUCCUAAGGUAGCGAAAUUCCUUGUCGGGUAAGUUCCGACCUGCACGAAUGGCGUA